CGAAUCGCCAUUCAGCAUCCUUGUCUGGAGCUCGGGGUCCCCCUGCUGGCGUACUGGAGCCUGGGCGGGGCUUUGAGCCGAAGGGCGGACACUCUCAGACAAAAUCUCCUGAACAUGCCCAAAGAGCGUGUGCUGGGAGCCCUCCCUGCCCUUGGGAGCUCUCCAGAGAUAGGGUUCCCAGCACCGUCUGCUUCCUGCCAGUCGUUCAGCGCAGACCUUCCACCUCCAGUACUUCUGGGAACACCACGCAUCUGGGCACAGAACCCUAGGUCAUCCAAUUCUCCUCAAAGUCUGUAAGCUUGGCCUCUGGGGCCUAGUAAAUUUGGCUCAGACAUUCCUACAGGAAAUGUGAGCAAGAAGCCUCCGUUUUGCAGUCUAUAAAAUGCAAACUGUAGAA